rnacentral:rRNA from 1 species
UGGGGAAUAUUGGGCAAUGGGGGAAACCCUGACCCAGCAACGCCGCGUGAAGGAAGAAGGCCCUCGGAUUGUAAACCUCUGUCAUUAGUGACGAAGAAGUGACGGUAGCUAAUGAGGAAGCCACGGCUAACUACGUGCCAGCAGCCGCGGUAAUACGUAGGUGGCGAGCGUUAUCCGGAAUUACUGGGUGUAAAGGGAGCGCAGGCGGGAUAGCAAGUCAGCGGUGAAAUGCAUGGGCUUAACCCAUGAGCUGCCGUUGAAACUGUUAUUCUUGAGUGGAGUAGAGGCAGGCGGAAUUCCGAGUGUAGCGGUGAAAUGCGUAGAUAUUCGGAGGAACACCAGUGG